rnacentral:rRNA from 1 species
CGUGUAGGCGGACUCGCAAGUCGGUUGUGAAAUCCCUGGGCUCAACCUAGGAACUGCAUCCGAAACUGCUUGUCUUGAGUAAUGGAGAGGGUGGCGGAAUUUCCGGUGUAGAGGUGAAAUUCGUAGAUAUCGGGAGGAACAUCAGUGGCGAAGGCGGCCACCUGGACAUUUACUGACGCUGAGACGCGAAAGCGUGGGGAGCAAACAGGAUUAGAUACCCUGGUAGUCC